CUUUUUGAGAAGUAUAUAUAAAGUCGUACCUGCUCACUGAAUUUAUUUGAAGAGCCGCGGUAAUUUGACCGUGCAAAGGUAGCAUAGUAAUUAGUCUUUUAAUUGGGGGCUGGAAUGAAAGGUUUGAUGAAAUAAUUACUGUCUCUUUUUAAUUAGUUUGAAAUUUAUUAUUAAGUUAGAAAGCUUAAAUAUAUAUAAGGGACGAGAAGACCCUAUAGAUCUUUAUAAUCAAUAAUUAAGAAUAAAUUGUAGAUGAUUUUUUCUUAAUUAUUAAAUUAUUUAGUUGGGGUGACUAGGAAAUAAUAGAACUUUUUUAAGAAGAAAACUUAGAUUGUAGGAAUAAUGAUCUUGUAAUAUGGAUUAAAAGAUUAAGAUACCUUAGGGAUAACAGCAUAAUUUCAUUUGAAAGUUCAUAUUGACAAUGGAGAUUAUGACCUCGAUGUUGGAUUAAGAUUAUAAAUUGGUGUAGAAGUUAAUUUAGUUAGUCUGUUC
rnacentral:rRNA from 1 species